UACCUGAGGCUGAGUAAUUUAUGAAGAAAGCAGAUUUAUUUGGCUCAUAGUUCUACAUGCUGUACCAGGAGCCUGGUAUCGGCAUCUACUUCUGGUGAGGGCUUCAGGGAGCUUCCACUCAUGGUGGAAGGUGAAAAGGAGCAGGUGUUACGUGGUGAGAGAGGAGAGAGAGGUGCCUGGCUCUUUCAAAAAUCAGUUCUCAUGAACACUCAUAGAGCAAGAACUCACUCAUAAUCUCCAGGAAGGCACCAAGCUCUUCAUGAGGGAUCCGAGGCCAUGACCCAGACACCUCCCACCAGGCCCUGCCUCCAACACUGGGAAUCAUAUUGCAACAUGAGAUUUGGAGGGGACAAAUAUCCAUACUGUAUCAGUGUCAUUUUUGGUACUGGGGACACUCUGGUGGGCUAGUCAGGCAAGGUCCCUACUGUCCUGGGGCUCACCAUAUAGAGGCGAAGUCAGACAUUAAACAAAAAGUACACAUGUGUAAACACACAAUCCACACAUGCACUCCACAUGCACUCCACACACUACAUACACCACACGCACACACUCACAUACACACACUCACAUAAUGGGCCAGCUAGUGUUACGUGCUAUGAGAAAAAAUUAAUAGAGUAAGAAGUAAGAGGAUGUCUGGGUGGUGGGGCAGGGAGGCGAGACCCUGCUGUUUUGCAUGGGUUACCAGGGGAACCCUCUUGGUUGAGCUGACCUGUGAGCAGAGACCCAACCAAGCAAAUUACAGUCAUGUGAUAACCGGGGAAAUGCAGGCAGUUCCUAUGAGCUUUACAACAAUCGGGGGGGGCAUUAAUGGAAUCAAUGGCUUUUAAAAAAUUAAUUUUCUUAAUAGAGAGGGAGUCUGAGGCUCAGAGAUUUAAAAUACUUUGAAGCUGAAUCAGGCUUCUAUCCCAGGCCCUAUGUCGUUUCCCUCAGAGUGCAGCACGAAGAUGUGUGUGAAGGGUUUGGGGUCAGACCCACCUAACUUUGCAUUUCACUUCCUCCAUCUCACCAGCUCAAGGCACCAGAGCGAACUUGAGCAAGUUGUAACCUCUCUGUGUUUACUAAUCUUGUUUACUAAUCUGUAAAAUGGGGAUAAAAAUAGUCCCUACCUCACUGGAUUGUCAUGAGGAUGAAAUGGUUGGCUUAGUAUGUGGCCAGAGGUUGGGGCCCAUUGAUGUAAGCCAUUAUUCUUAUACAUGUUGUCUGUCUUCCUUCGAAGGAGACAGGCUGCAGACUUCCAAGUCACUCUGGCUUAUAUGUAAUGCCCUGCUCUCCUUCGUCUCUUUCACAGGCUCGAGGAGACUUUUCCUGCCGCAGCACAGGCUGUUCUUGCAUGCUGAGACAAGCAGCCUCAGGGUGCAGGGUGGAAUUGCUACACCAUCUCCCUUGGGUGUCUGUUAUCAGGGAUUGAUGGCAGACCCAGCCUAGAGCAUUUGGAGGUGGUCUGAGUGGGGUAUGGGGUGAGGGAGUUUCCCAAAGAGCCAAAGAGUGACUUGCCCUUCCUGAAAACUGUGCCAUAGAAAACCUAAGUUUUGCCUUCCAUCCGACAGCAACUUCCUUUAAAAGCAUCAAGGAAGGGAAACACACAGAGGAGGCGGAGCCAGUUGGAGCUACAGCUUAGGCCCUGAACUGGGAUGCUGGUCCCCUGGGAUCCUGUCUGGAUUUACAGAGGCUGUUUUUUUGAUCAAAAUAGAGGCCUUAAUGGCUUCCUGUUUAGACGUUAUUGCUUUACCAUGAGACCCAUGGGAGAUAGUGUAGCAAUUCUACCCUGCACCCUGAGGUGGAAGAGAUGAGGACACCAGAGUAUUACCUUCUGAGGGUUGGCUGCAUCCUGCCCUGCCUAGUGCUUCUCUGACAACCACAGCUACUCUCUCCAGGCUCUUCCCUCCCCUUUAAACUGAGGGGAGGUAAUGGCUCCUCUGUGUUGCCAGCCCCCGGAUGCUGCACCAACUCUUCUGGGUCUCCUUAACCCUGCUCACACCCUUGUAAAUGCUCCCUAUAAUAAACUCUCCUCGGUUAUCCCCGUUCAGGGCACCAUCUGUUUCCUUCCAGGACGAGCACUCAUAUAAGUCGACAAUGCAUCUGCAUUCUAGAAAAUAAUUCAGUGUUCCAGACAAGAAUAUUGUUGAUUUUUGAAGAAAUUUCCCAUACCUACACUAAAGGAACACCAAAUUUAUUACUGUAUCAGUGAGACAGCUGUUGUGACAGUAAAGUGAGACCCUUGUAGCAAAAGCACUUUUCGGACUCCAUGAUGUUAGGAAACUGCAAAACACCUUCUUCUGAGUCCAGAGACUGGAAAAUGAACUCUUGUGUGGCCUCUAGUACUAGGAUGGCUGAGUUUCUUCAACCUGUUGCAUGCGAAGAAAGUGAAGCAAAGAGAACACAGGCCCUUUUGGUCUGCAAAAGGCAGGUAGCUGCCCUCAUGACCUGACCACAUAGAGGAUGCCAAAAAGUGGGCUCCCUCUGAGAAUAGCAAUGUCCAAAAGAAUAGAGGACAGAGAGAUUGAGAGGAAACCUCAUGAUUCAGAAUGGCAACUCUGCCCUGGCAAAUAUGGUGCAGUGAAUGGAAAACUCUUUUCACUCACCAGUCAGACCAAUCAUUUCUCCUCUCACAGAAUGGAAGGAGUGAGGGAAUGAAGAGAGGAAUAGCAAGUGCUCAGACACAAACUGCUCCUUUCUGAGGCGGGGAAGCAGAAACCCUUUAUCUAUGAGGAUCAAAGGAAAAACGUCCCCAAAUCACAGGCAUUUCUGCGGGAUGUGCAUGGUCCCACAGAGCCCCACCAGGUGGAUAUUUUCCAUGUUGUGAGUACCGGCCUUCCCAUUCCUUUGUUUCUAUAGUUCCUUUUGGACAAGUGCUGCUGUGAGCUUUGUGCCCUGUGUCAUUCAAUCACUUUCUACUCUGCCCCCCUCCCCACCCCGCCACAGUGUCAGGCCCUGAGCCUUUGCCUACCUGCUGUCAGAGCCCUGUGUGGCUUCCUCUCAGGUAGGUGAUAAUGGGGAGUGAGAGCUUUUAAUCAGACAAAUGAAUCAUGCUGAUUAUCCCUAGUUCAAUCAUGGAUUACCCCUGCCAGGGAAUCUCCUGUCUAGUGUUUAAGCCAAUUAAAGGGCUCUGGGGGAGUCCUUGGCUGGGGGUUCAGGAUCAGAGGAGGGCAGGCUAAGGGGAGGCACUGGGGAAGGGGAU
rnacentral:lncRNA from 1 species